rnacentral:tRNA from 1 species
CAUCAAGUGGCCGAAUCAAGCAUUGGUCUCUUAAAACCUAAAUAAAGUANUAAAGUCUACUCUUGAUGA